UGUUAGCGGCGGACGGGUGAGUAACACGUGGGUAACCUGCCUGUAAGACUGGGAUAACUCCGGGAAACCGGGGCUAAUACCGGAUGCUUGUUUGAACCGCAUGGUUCAAACAUAAAAGGUGGCUUCGGCUACCACUUACAGAUGGACCCGCGGCGCAUUAGCUAGUUGGUGAGGUAAUGGCUCACCAAGGCGACGAUGCGUAGCCGACCUGAGAGGGUGAUCGGCCACACUGGGACUGAGACACGGCCCAGACUCCUACGGGAGGCAGCAGUAGGGAAUCUUCCGCAAUGGACGAAAGUCUGACGGAGCAACGCCGCGUGAGUGAUGAAGGUUUUCGGAUCGUAAAGCUCUGUUGUUAGGGAAGAACAAGUACCGUUCGAAUAGGGCGGUACCUUGACGGUACCUAACCAGAAAGCCACGGCUAACUACGUGCCAGCAGCCGCGGUAAUACGUAGGUGGCAAGCGUUGUCCGGAAUUAUUGGGCGUAAAGGGCUCGCAGGCGGUUUCUUAAGUCUGAUGUGAAAGCCCCCGGCUCAACCGGGGAGGGUCAUUGGAAACUGGGGAACUUGAGUGCAGAAGAGGAGAGUGGAAUUCCACGUGUAGCGGUGAAAUGCGUAGAGAUGUGGAGGAACACCAGUGGCGAAGGCGACUCUCUGGUCUGUAACUGACGCUGAGGAGCGAAAGCGUGGGGAGCGAACAGGAUUAGAUACCCUGGUAGUCCACGCCGUAAACGAUGAGUGCUAAGUGUUAGGGGGUUUCCGCCCCUUAGUGCUGCAGCUAACGCAUUAAGCACUCCGCCUGG
rnacentral:rRNA from 1 species